UCUCUCUGAAAGUGCACUGAGAAUUGACCUCAGGUGCAGUGGAGCACAGACUAACUCUCAUCUCCCGGACAAACCACACGGAAUGAGCAAGGGUUCGAAGAGCAUGAAUGACCAACAACCACCGACUAACCACAGGGGAGUGUGUACACCUACAGCGGGUGUCCGCAAAGCAGGACACACCAACACCAGGCUCCAGAUUCCAGCCUGGACUACGUCAUCAUGAGACAGGCCUAUGCUAUGCAGCCCCUGCCCCCAGGAACAUCUGGCUCAUGAGACCAGCUACAGGUGUGGAUAGGGCUCAUUGUCAACCGAUGGGUUCCCAGUACUGUCCUCCAGUUGCUAGCCUGCACGGCUUCCCAGGACAAGAUUUGGAGUCUCUGAACUAGAAUGAUAGCUCUACAUGGGUGGUAUGAGAGUGACUCAGUGUCUUGGAAGCCACCUCCAAAGUUCGGUGCCAGCAUUGCCUGGCAGCUGUACACACCAGGCACUGGCCUAGACUCUGAGCACUCCUGGGAGAGGUUUCCACAGCUGAGGAAUUAGUUCUGCUUCAGGGAACUAAGUUGGGAAAAUAUUUCCAGAUCUGAGUGGCUGCAGGGCCAGACUCGGCAUCUAUGAAUCCUUCGUUCUGUGACCUUAGCCGCAUCCGCUAAGCUGCUGCCAGGCUAGACUGCAGAAACGAACUCAAAGCAAAGACGUUGAAAAAAAAAAGAAAAAAAAAUCAAGAGGUCUGAAAUUUGCCCCAUCAAGUCUUUUGAAACCAAACUGCCCACAUUUUUAAGGGUUUGACGUCAUAACAUUCCCAAGUAAGAUUACAUUUUGAAAAACAAUGAUUGUUGCUGUGCGUGUGUGUGUGUGUAUGUGUGUGUGUGAGUGCAUGGCAUGUGUGUGUGUGUGUGUGUGUGUGUGUGCGCGUGCGCGUGUGUGUGUGUGUGUGUGUGUGUAUGUGUGUGUACACAUGUGUGUGUGAGUGCAUGGUGUGUGUGUGAGUGCAUGGUGUGUGUGUGUGUGUGUGUGUGUGUGUCUGUGUAUGUGAGUGCAUGGUGUGUGUGUGUGUACACGUGUGUGUGAAUGCAUGGUGUGUGUGUGAGUGCAUGGUGUGUGUGUGUUGUGCAUCUUGUGUGUGCGUGUGUGUAUGUGUGUGUAUGAGUGCGUGCUGGGUGUAUGUGUGUGAGUGAGUGCAUGGUGUGUGUGUGUGUGUGUGUCUGUGUGUAUAUGAGUGCAUGGUGUGUGUGUGUGUGUGAGUGAGUGAGUGCAUGGUGUGUGUGUGUGUGUGUGUGUGUGUGAGUGUGUGUGUGUGUGUCUGUGUGUCUGUGUGUCUGUGUCUGUGUAUGUGAGUGCAUGGUGUGUGUGUGUGUGUGUGUGUGUGUGUGUGAGUGUGUGUGUGUGUGUCUGUGUGUCUGUGUAUGUGAGUGCAUGGUGUGUGUGUGUGUGUCUGUGUGUGUGUGUGUAUGUCAGUGCAUGGUGUGUGUGUGUGUGUGUGUGUGUGUGUGUGAACGUGAGAGGUUUAGCAUAGUCCUUAGGAAAUCAACUCUGAGACUGGAAAUCUGAGAUGUGUGGACAGAAC
ensembl:lncRNA